UCCGGUUCUUCACCAGCAGUCUCGCCAGAGUCCCCAUCAUUACAUGCUGGUAACUGGCAAUAAGGGUUGCGCUCGUUACGGGACUUAACCCAACAUCUCACAACACGAGCUGACGACAGCCAUGCAGCACCUGUCUAAUGGCUCCUUUCGGCACUUCCGCAUCUCUGCAGAAUUCCAUCGAUGUCAAGGGCAGGUAAGGUUCCUCGCGUUGCAUCGAAUUAAUCCGCAUGCUCCGCCGCUUGUGCGGGCCCCCGUCAAUUCCUUUGAGUUUUAGCCUUGCGGCCGUACUCCCCAGGCGGGGCGCUUAAUGCGUUAGCUGCGGCACGGAACUCGUGGAAUGAGCCCCACACCUAGCGCCCAACGUUUACGGUGUGGACUAC
rnacentral:misc_RNA from 1 species